UGACAUCCUCUGACAACCCUAGAGAUAGGGCUUUCCCUUCGGGGACAGAGUGACAGGUGGUGCAUGGUUGUCGUCAGCUCGUGUCGUGAGAUGUUGGGUUAAGUCCCGCAACGAGCGCAACCCUUGAUCUUAGUUGCCAGCAUUCAGUUGGGCACUCUAAGGUGACUGCCGGUGACAAACCGGAGGAAGGUGGGGAUGACGUCAAAUCAUCAUGCCCCUUAUGACCUGGGCUACACACGUGCUACAAUGGACAGAACAAAGGGCUGCGAGACCGCAAGGUUUAGCCAAU
rnacentral:rRNA from 1 species